GCCCAAGUCACCCCACAGAGGGGUUUGACCUUAACCAGCUCACAGAUCUCAAUUUUUGCAGACAAAAGAUUAAUUAGCACCCGCCGUGAAAUGAAGUGGUGUGUGAAGAUGACAUGUUGCUUCUCUGAGACCUUAGGCAAGUGUUAUGUGUUAACUGUCAACUUGACAGAAUCCGGAACCACUUGGGAGCUUAACAUCCAGCUUGUUAUGAAGGUCACCACCCAGAAGGCAGAAAAAGAAAGAACUCGGGGAACCAUGCAGAAGAGGAUUAUCAUGAGAUUCACAGCGGGCCAUGGACUUCUGCUUACUGAUGUAAAACUCAGUCCCUCCACCCCACUAAACUACAAGGAAGCCUGGGCGAUAUGGUCUCCACGCAUUCUCUACGAAAAAGGAAAUGAUUUAACGAAGCCAAAUUCUGGAACGGUGGUUCGUGUCAUGCAAAGAUCCAUUGAGGGCAAGCUUUAAGAGGGCUUAGAAUUGCAGGACAAACCACAGAGUGGGGGGCACAGAGAACAAGGUUUCCUGCCAUCUCACUACUCUGAUCGUCUUGGCUGUAGUUCCAUCACCUUCCAUCACAGACUAUUGCCCAGGUAAAUGCAAGCCAUUUCUGAGGAGUUGGCAAACUUUUCCAGAAACCCUAGAAGACAUCCCCUUGGGCCUCAGCUAUAACCAAAUUGCACAAGCAGCCACUGAUACAUAACUGACUCCUAGCAAAUGAGUUUGCAGCUGAGAGUGAUUGUCCCAGUGAAAGUCAGCGUGGAAAAUGGAGUCUGAGAAGUGGGAACACUACCCACUCUACUCUCCUACCCCACACCCUUUCAUCUUCCACAACUGCCUACUUUACCUAAUCCCUUGUUUUGUGUUACUUCUGUUUUCAACCAAGGGAAACACUUUCCCUGAGUUAUCUCAUCUUCUCUCAAAGAAUCAGGAGCCCUCCAUUUGAGAAUGGCCGCACAGAAGAGGUAAUGUGAACUGGAGAGUUGGUGCGACAGUUAGGAACAUUUGCUGCCCUUCCAGAGGACAUGGGUUUAAUCCAGACACCCACAUGGUGGCUCACAGUUGUCUAUAGCUUCAGUUCCAGGACAUUCUAUGCCUUCUAGCCUUUGAGGACAUCAUGCAUGCACAUGUUCUGUAGACAUACACGGAGUCAAAAUACCCAUACAUGUAACAGUUAAAAAUAAAUUAAAAUUAAAAAACUGAUAUUUGGAA
rnacentral:lncRNA from 1 species